AAUAUUGCGCAAUGGAGGAAACUCUGACGCAGCGACGCCGCAUGAGCGAUGAAGGUCUUCGGAUCGUAAAGCUCUGUCCUUGGGGAGGAAGGUCUUCGGAUUUAACGGUACCCAUGGAGGCAGCACCGGCUAAAUACGUUCCACCAGCCGCGGUAAUACGUAGGGGGCAAGCGUUGUCAGGAAUUAUUGGGCGUAAAGGGUGCGUAGGCGGCCUUUUAAGUCAGAUGUGAAAGCCCACGGCUCAUCCGUGGGAUUGCAUUUGAAACUGGUGGGCUUGAGUAUCGGAGAGGGUAGUGGAAUUCCCAGUGUAGCGGUGAAAUGCGUAGAUAUUGGGAGGAACACCAGUGGCGAAGGCGACUACCUGGACGAUUACUGACACUGAUGCACGAAAGCUAGGGGAGCAAAC
rnacentral:rRNA from 1 species